AUCAAAAUUCUGUAGCCAUAUUCUUAAAAGCAAUAAAGUCCAAUAUGACUAUUCGUCGAACAAGUCCUUGACACUAUUGAUAAUUGUUCCAAUAAUUAUUCGAUCUUUUAUUCCACAACAACCCCUUCUCCGACCUCAACAAACAAAAUUUCAAGUGAACUAAUGAUGAAUAUUGGUUGGUAUUGCAGUUUUGAAAUCCAAGAACAAAGGGUUGCUAGAGAGAUCAAUUGAUCAAAUAUGUCAAUAAGACUUCUCAGGUAUGUGUGACAGCAGCUUUGGUACUAGCAAGCCCUGCAUUAGUUAUGGGCCUAGCAAUUUUAAGCCUACCCUUAAAGCCAAUAUUAAAGAAAGUUCGUAUAUGGGUGAAAUCGAGCUCAUGGUGCAUCCUAACCUCCGAUAAAAUAAGCCAGGUUCGAGACAUUGCAACAAGGGACCGAAAUCGAGUUAAAGUCCCAUUAGGACAGAACCCGAGGGCAUGGCGUCUGCCUUCGAGAAUAUCGAGGCCAUGGUCUCAGAAUCGGUCCUAGACUCGAACGACAUCGAAGAACAUUGUCAGACAAUCUAACAUAACCAACAGAAGGCUGAAAUAUCCGUGACUGGCCAAAUAUUACGGCAGGGAUCUCGGCACGUAUCGAUAAAGAACCGGCAAUCAGUUAAUCAAAAGAUUUUUUUACUUUUUAUAGAGUUGUACCUAAAAUAGGACUCCCCUACCAUAUAAAGGGGGUCUGCUAAUUUAUGAAAGACAUUGUAACACGCACUCAAAAGAAAUUAUAUUUUUUUUUUCUUCAGCUCUUGUUCUUUUUCAUCUAUAACGGUCUCAGUUAUCUCGGCUCGAGAGUGGCUAUUUCGUUAAGGCUGAAACUAUGCAACUUGUGCUGCUUGAAUUUAUUUGUCUUUGUUUAUUCAAUAGCAACUUAAUUUAUCGCUUGUAUCAAAUUAAUCCGCGUAUCCUUAAAAUCACCUACAAAUUUAAUUGUUAUCCGAUUUUGAGGGUAAAUAGUUUGGUGCCCACCGUGGGAGUGGGGGUGGGAUAGGGUAACUAAGUAAAUUUCUAGAUAAGUUGGGUUGAGAUCCCUUUAUUUUGGGGUGAACUUCAUGGGUUAUAUUUGGGCUACUUUAUGAGUCAGAAUGGGCUACAAAAAAUAAUGGGUUAACUUGGGCUCAUCCCAAAUUAACCCAUGAGCUAAAAUGUUGUAGCCCAACCUAUUAAUCUCUGGGCGGGUUUGGGAUCGAAUAGCCAGCCCUGGGAACAGGUAACCAGAGUCCACGAACAAAACCGUACUCCAAAACCUCAGAAAGAGAUUGAACGAAGCCAAAGGAAUAUGGAAAGAAAUCUUGCCCGAAGUCCUAUGGGCUUACCGUACGACCUCGAAGUCCAGUACCGGAGCCACCCCAUUCUCGUUGGUUUACGGCGCCGAAGCUCUAAUACCGGUCGAUGUCGAAGAACCGAUUCAGGUUGCGAUACACAACCGAAGAAUCAAACAACGAGACUAUGAAUACGAGCAUGGAACUGUUAGAUGAAAGGUACGAAGCCGCCCUCGUCCGGAUGGUAGCCCAAAAAAUAACGGAUCGAGAGGUAUUAAAAUCGAAGAGCCAACCUUUGACACUUCAAUGUUGGGGACUUAGUGUUGAGUAAGGUCACAUUAAACACUCGAAACCCGAAUGAAGGAAAGCUGGGACCAAACUGGAAAGGUCCGUAUCAAAUUAUCGAGAUCACCGGUAAAAGGGUCGUACAAACUCGGAGCAAUGAACAGUGAGCGACUACCGAAAAACUGAAACGUAACUCACUUGAAGAUAUAUUACUGCUAAGGUAUGACCCCAUUUACUGCUUUUAUUUAUUUACAUUUUGGACUAACACUUGCAGGUAACUGUCAAAGAACGAUAUAAUUUUUUAGGCCUGGAAGCACGCGUUGCACUCUUUUUCCCUUGAACCGGUUUUGUCCCAAAUGUAUUUUCCGGCAUGGUUUUUAACAAGGCACCAGUGGAUCGUACGAACUUAGAAUCGAAGAUCGAUUGUCAACAGUAUCCGAGGCUUCUCUAUGAUCUACCUCGAACACUGGGGGGCAUCACCCUUGAAAAAUAAUUUUGGCAAGGAAAGAAACUUUGUGCUCGAAUAGUCUAGGCUCGAUCGAUAGGAUUGACUGUAAGGGCCAAAUGGUCGAAUGAAUUGUGCCCACAUAGACCACCCAAGCCCGGACAUAAAGCUUGAACAGCACAUGUGUAACUUUGUAUGUUACGCACAAAAUUGAAAGGAAGUUUCUACCUUGCGGAUAAAUAUUUUGCCCCUUGAAAAUUUUUGUUUCAUACAUUUGAUCCCCCGAAGACAUAGAGCCCCAGGGCCACCUCACUUGGGGACUUUCGCCCAAGGCAGGUUCGGACAGCCCGGGAUAAUAAAGUCCGGGGGCACAAAGCUUAUUUGGCAGUGCCCGAAUUUUAAAGGCUACGGCCACCCCCAUUCGGGAAAGGUUAUCUCGGUUAAGUCCGGAUGACUCGGUGUAACAAGCCCACUGGGAAACACCCGAAUUAGAAAGGCUACGAUCGUAUUAAAAUGACUCAGAGACGUCCGAGACUCGUAACAAAAAACAAGGCCUUCAAAAUUUCUAAACUGGUUCAAAAGGCUACCCUCGGCAAAUUAUAAUCUAAAAUAUUCUAAGUACUUUGGGAAAAUCUUCCAGACAUACUGAGCCCCCACGAGUCUUAAACAAAAUAAUAUCGAGAGUAAGGCAUGUUCGAACCUUCAAACAAGUCCUAAUUAUUACGUACUAAGGCAUUCAAUAUCUUUGCAAUCAUAAAGAAAAAAGCAAAAGGAAACGAGCUUAAAAACUGUCGAAGGGAAACAAGACGUAUAUAUAUAUAUAUAUAUAUAUAUAUAUAUAUAUAUAUAUAUGCACGUAUGUGUGAAAAGAUCUUUACAAAGGUCAAAUGGCCUUGAUAAAAAAGUACAAAAGUACAAAAACAAAGAAAAAUAUAUAAGGCACUUAAACAACUUGGUCUCCACCGGAGCCCGCCUCGUCACCCGGACCAUCAGAGUCUUCUCCACCCCCAGAUCCAUCCGAACCCUUGGAGUCUUCUUCGUCCUCAGGAUACACCAUUUUCUUGGCCUCGGUUUUAAGCCCCUUAGCAGUUUUGACUUCGGCCGACAAAUCAAAAUCCCGAGCAUGAACUUUCUCGAGGGCCUCCCUUUGUGACUGCCACUUCACAUAUUCGACGAUAUCUUUCAGUCGGUCUUGGGCUGCCUUGGCAUCGGCCUUAUACUGGGCCACCAUCUCGUUGGCAUCAUCUUUGUUUCCUUGAACUACCGACUUGGCCUCUUUAAGCUCUUUGGCAAGGGUCUAUUGAUCGGAAAGAGCCGAGCUUAGCUGAGACUGGAGCUCCUCGAUCUUUUGGGACCGUACCUCAGCCUUCUCCCUCGUCACUCGAAGCUGGUCCUCCGCCGAGGUCAACUGCGCCCGGGCAAUCUCUUUUUCCAAGGCUAGACGGUUCAUCCUACCUCUCCACUCUUCGGCCUCGACCUUGACUGCAUCCAUCUCGGCUCGGAGUUGGUCAAUCCAAUCAAUCUUGUGUUGGACCUGCGGGUUUCGACUGUUAGUGACCAUGUCUAGCUCAUCGUCACUAACUUCAAAAAAUUUAACAUGUUCAACCAGGUCGGCGUGUUCUUUCCGAGCCACUUCCAACUCAUCUCAAAGGCUAUUAGCCUCCCCUUCACGCUGCUCGAUAAGAAGUUUGUAUGUGUCUCUCUUCUCAGUAAGCUCUCUGACUUUGGUUUGAGUUGGUUUAGCUCAUCUUGAUACCGGAGGAACGUUUCGUGGUGAAGCACCGAGGCCUACAAAUACGAAGAAAAAUUAGGAUUAUCCAUGAAUUAGUUCAAGUAUAAGAGGAGAAAUUGAAAUCAUCAAGAGUUAUCUAAAGUUACCCGGUUCAGCGUCGCUUGUGCUUCGUUGAACAAGCAGGGCAUGUCUACCUCAUUCAUUUUGGCUUGGUCUUCUUCGGUCACCAGGCACCGAAGGUAACUGGCCACCCCUACGGGGGCGAAAAGGACCCGGGUAUCCUCCGGAAUGGUGAUGAUGAUAGAUCGCUUCCGAUCAGGCUCCACACUCGGGGCAGGGAAUCGGUUGACCAAUUUCGGGCUCAAGUUAGGCCCUCCUGCCCCCAAGGUCGGACUCUUGCUCGGUACCUCUAUGUCACCUAAUCCGAUGACGUCUUCCGUAACGGUGGAAUCUACACCAUCAAAAAGCAGCGGAGGGGGUCGUCCGCUCUGUGGGCCCCCUAGUUGGGGCGCUCUUUCAUGGUUUGAGCCUCAUUGUACAUGGACUCGGUGAACGAGUGCGACUCGGUGAUGUCUAUCACACCGGGUGCCUUUUUUGGGGUACUUCCCACAUCCCGAAAAGCCUCGGCCUCGGUCCCCUCAUCGACCUCCCUGGCUUGAGGUAGAUCGUCCUCACGGAUCUCUGGUUCAGUGCCCCCCCCCCUCUUUUCGAGCUGUGACAACUCACGGGACACUAGAACAAAAGGUUCUUCUUCUUCGAAUUCGUCCCUUAGCCGAUAGACAUAAUCCGAAGGUGGUGCUCGGGCGCUGGUUUUUUCUUUUGACUUGCGCACCAGCCUUCUCCUUGUUUUCUUUUUCUUCGAGCACGGGGAACUCGGAGCCCUUUUUCUUUUCUUUUCUUCGGCAUGUCUCGGAGCAGGGAACUCGGUAGGUAAGUCCUCGCCAUAGGCUGGAGGCCUCAUCUCGAUAUCCUUAGAUAAACCUACAAAAAAGAAGUAAAGGGAGUAAGGCUUAAUGUAAAAAGAGGGGUUUUAAUACUACCUACUCGGGAAAAGAGUCUUACCGUGGGAACGGGACUCCCAAAGGCCCUUCGAGAGAUUGCGCCACAAGCGCUCAGAAUAGGGCAUCUGUGAUACGAUACCCUCGACCCAUUCCUUGAGUUGAGGGACAGCGUUUGGGACUAGAGCAAUAGUUGCACCACCACAAAGUACCGAUAAGAAAAAGAGAAGUAAGUAUAAAAUCGACAAUCGAAAGUAAAUCAUACUUAUGUGAGGUGUUCCACUUCUCGGGAAACGGCAUACACUCAUCUGAGAUUAAGUCUGAAGUCCUCACUAGGACAAAACGGCCUUGCCAACCCCGAUCCCGAUCCUCAUCAAUAAUUGAGAACAUGGCUUUACUGACCCGACGCAUGAGCUUUAUCAGCCCCUCCUCCCCCCGAAAGAUUUGGGGACUGUAUAAGUGAAGAAGAUGGUCGAUGGUGAAUGAACACCCAUCGAUUUUGGUUCACAAAGAAUCGAAGGAGGAUCAUAAUCCUCCACGGUGAAGAAUGGAUCUGACCGAGGCAUACCUCGUAUCUCUUACAGAAAUUUAUGAUGAUAGGGUCUGCUGGGUCUAGUGUAAAGUGAUAUGUGUAAACACUUAAAUAUCCCUCGACAUUGGUGGUAAUGGCCUCAUCGGGGUCGGGGACCACUAUGUCCUUAUAGACCCAGUUGCAGUCUUUUCGGACCGUGAGGAGGAUCUCUUCGGUGAUCGAGCAGAUAUAUCUCGAGACCUCCUCACACCGGCCUUGCACGGAGGAAGGAUUUUUGACUUGAAAUCGACAUUGACCGAGCAUUGCCCAGUACUGGUUCAUCAAUGACAGCGCGCGAAAUAGUCACUUCGGCCUCAGUAGCCGGUUGCGAAGUUGAAGGAGUUUCUUUCUGAGGAAUGGUCUUGGAAAUCUUUGCCAUUUCUGUAAAAAAUGGAGGAAAUUCCAAGAAAGGUGGAGAAAGAAAGGAAUAUUGAAGGAUUAGACUUGUUGUCUUGAGAUGAAGAUGGGUAAAAAUUCUUGCAAAGGGACUCGAAAUCUUAAAAGUACAAGGGUAGAAUGUUUGGAUAUAAAGUUAAAAUGAACAAAGGAGGGGAUAUUUAUAGUAGUUCAACGGCAUUUUGCAUCCAAGGACGGCCGACCGGCGGCUGACAUGCAUUUAAUGCCAUUAUGACUUUACUGACGAGACGUUUCAAUUAUUUUGUCGUUUCUGUCACGGUGUAUCGAAGUAAGAAUCAGAAGCUCAUGUCGUUUCUCGUCGUUUACUAUCUGAAAAAUGAGGGGACUAUCUAUAUAAGGGUAAAAUCGAGCUCAUGGUGCAUCCUAGCCUCCAACAAAAUAAGCAAGGUUCGAGACAUGACAACAAGGGACCGAAAUCGAGCUAAAGUCCCAUCGGGCCAGAACCCAGGGGCAUGACGUCUGCCUUCGAGAAUAUAGAGGCCAUGGUCCCGGAAUCAGUCCUAACCUCAAACGACAUCGAAGAAUAUUGUCAGACAAUCCAGCAUAGCCAACAGAAGGCCGAAAUAUUCGUGACUGGUCGAAUAUUACGGCGGGGAUCUCGACAUGUAUCGAUAAGGAACCGGCAUUCAGUUAAUCAGAAGAUGUUUUACCUUUUAUAGAGUUGUACCUAAAAUAGGACUCCCCUACCAUAUAAAAUGGGUCUGAUAAUUCAUGAAAGACAUUGUAACA
rnacentral:lncRNA from 1 species